CGUUGAAAUACCGAUUCCCGUACGAUCACCGAAGUUAAGCAACGUAGAGCUCCGUCAAUACCUAUAUGGGUGACCACUUGAGAUCACCAGGUGUUGUAA